GUUCGGGCUAGCUAGCCAAUGGGAUAGAUCCAUGAUUUGAUUCGUCCCCGCACGUGCGGCUCGGUGACGGUGACUUGUCACUCGAUUGCAUUGGUCAUCAACCGUCUUUUUUACAUGACCACGGAAUCAAAAACAUAAACAACAGCAAAUGAGUGGCGUGUUAUUAUCGAAAACACAGUCGUCAUGAGCAAGAGGAAGCAAGAGGGUUGCAGAGACAUUCGGCAAUGUUUUGCCUCGUCUCAGAAAAGAAGAAAAGUAACUAAAGAGGGGUGAGAAAAUGAGAAGUGUUAACUUAUCAGUUGUAGCAUUACAGUACAGUAGAGUUAAUAGACUACAAAAAACUAGCCACAGAAUUAUUGUCAUUCAGAUCAAAAGUGGUUUGUUGACUAUCUGAGAAAGGAACAGUACUUGUUAUCUGAUAAUAUUUCUUCCCUGUGGCAUGUCCACUUUGGUGGAUGAAAGGAUGAAAGCAGUGUGUGUCAAUCUGGUAGUGACAUAGAGAGUAGAGCUAGUGAGCCAGCGGGAGAGACAGAAAGUUUGGAGGAUGAAAGCACAGGGAGAGUUUGUCAAUCUAGUGGUGGCAUAUAGUUGACACACAACUCUACACAGCAGCGUUGCAGUUGCUAAUAUAGCAAUAUAAUAAUUAUUAAGUCAAGUUUCAUUCAAGGUUACAAAACAUUGUAUAAUGUAUGUAUUCAUAGAUUAAUCCAUAACUACCGUAAUCAGAAAACAUUUAGGUUAUGUCCUUGACAUGUCUAAUUCUUUAACAGUGCAUCAUUCAAUACGGCUAAUGGUUUCACCAUGAGAAUAGCUCAGUGUGCUCUCUCGUGAAACUAUCGUGAAACUAUCUAUGUACUUAUUAAACAAGUGGAUGAAAAUAUCAGAAAAUCUAUAUUUUCUGAGGGGUAACAAAAGUUUUGGGGUGACUUCUAUUUAGGUCCAUGAGAAAGAUGCACCUGGGUGGGUUUUACUCAGCAUUGGCAAAUGUGAUGGUUAUGCAAUAAAAAAUGUAAUGGAAGUAAGAACUGGCUGGAUUUUGUUUCCUUGUUGUGGUGGUGCAGGUGUUUGUUUGUGUGUGUUUUGUAAAAAAGACAAAACAUCAAUGAAUGUAAUGUGGGGAAAAAAAGGACUGGAUUGGUUGAAAUAUUGAGGAGCACAAAAUGUUAUAUUUAAUUUAAAAAGUAAAGGAAAACAGAGCUCUGAAGUAUAUGUGUUUCAUCCUUUUCCUAUUUUCAAGUCUUCCACACUCCCAGACUGCUUGGUCACAUCCAGUAUUAAAGUGUUUUAAACAUCCAUCCCUAAAAAGGUCUUCAAAAUUAGGUGCAAGGUAUUGAGAUUUUGCUCUCAGAGUGCACCAGAUUAAUGCAUGUUCAAGAUCUUUGCCUCGGGGGGGGGGCGGACCCCGCCCCCAGGCCUUUGUCCCCCCCAAUUUUGAAACCAUGGCUACACCUCUGCCACAAUGGAAUUUGCCAUUUAUUAUUUCAAGGACAAGAGUGUGGAAGUUGGGAAGACUUCAUGGAUGAGUAUUGAAGACCAGCAACGAUGUCCAAAAUUAAUCACCCAGUGCCCUAAUCUAGAAGAUGACGGAUGGAUGAAGGUAAAGUGGGACACUGGCAGAAAAAAGUCAGACGGUCCAGCCUUUUUCCCAGCCAAGGUUUUGAUGUUUGGUGCCAGCUACAGUGAUCUGUGUAAGAAGAGGCAGGGAUUCAUAAAGGGUGAAGACAUCUGGCAAGAAUCACCCAAGAGGAAGAGUAAGCCGAACAACAAGUGGAAAGCUGUGGAAGAGGAGGAUCAAGAAGUUCCACCAAAAAAGAAGAAAAAAAGAGAAACAUGUUCAGCAGAAAAAGAGUCUGCAAACCUCAUGAUCGAAGAGCUGAAGAAGCAGCUUGCAGACAAAGCAUCUUCAGAGGAGUCAUCAGAUGAGGAGGAGAUGCCCAGAAACUGGAGUGUGGCGGUGCAGAAAAUGAAACGGCUUCAGAGAGAAAUCAAGAGCCUGAAAGAAGGCCAUGUGGAAGAAAUACUAGAUGCGAUGAGUGGCAUUUUCUGCACACUACCUUUUAAAGACUUUGGUGGUGUGCCUAUACUGAUUCCUGAAGUCAGACAAACUGACAACAAUCAAAGCUGGUUUUAUCUAAAUAGAAACAGAUAGAUAUAAUUACUGAAAAAUCUUCCCAAAUAAAAAGAAAUGACCAUUUAACUGAUAAUUCAAUAAAUAUACUGUGCAGCCUUGAACCAACGUAAUUUAAAACGGAUACUCCAAUAUUGAAGCACUGACAUCUGAAUAAUGAAAACAAAGAGACUCACAAAUCACACAGACAAACAACGGCUGCCAGGGAGAGCUGGGAUCUGCUGCCAAGUGUGGAAAAAGGCCCAUACCUGGCGACAAUCUUCUUUUUAUAGGUUAUGGCUGAUUCAGCUCCUCAUACCUCCUGCUCCUCCUUAAUCAGCUCUACCUCCAGCCAUGCUCUUCAUAACACAAAUGACUAUGCAAUGUUUUAAAAUUGUCUCAAAACACAGUAAUGACACAAAAACUUUUGUUCCCUUGUUCCCCCUCUUGUUUUCAUUCCCUUUAAAGAGCUCCCAGCAGUGGUGACACAGCUAAAAUAAGUUAUUGAAAAAAUCACAGUACAGAGCUCAACUCCUGCAUCCACCUGAUCAACAUCCACAUCUGGAGACCCACCAUUUUCUCCACCCGGCUCUCCUCAAGUGUCUGACCCUAAUGAAAUGGUGCUUCUUGUGCCAGGCCAUGACGUCAAAGUACCAAGACGAAAGCUGAAGUCUCUGCGGACUACAAAUUCAGCAUUGUACAUUGGGGAUCUUGCGGUGCUCAUCUAUGGUAGAGAAACGCUGUCCAAUUCAAGUUUGACCGGGAGGCAGUCAGGGGCUCACAAAGAAGUGGAAUCAAAGCCACAACUGGAUAACACAAAGCUCGAUGCUAUACUUGUCCAUGUCCAGGCGAAGUUCCCUGACACCACCAUUCAAGAUGUGAGACGCAUCAUAAGAAAGAAAUGCAACAAUAUAAACUAUGCCAAGCAAGUGACUGAAAAGAAGUCAUAAAAACGUUUUUGGUUUUUAUCAAGCUAUUUUGUUUGUUCCAAAGAUGUGUACCUUUCUUACACCUUUUUUUU
ensembl:lncRNA